GCCCGAGCAACCAAAUUGUCCAAUACUCAGAGACUGAAGGUAAACUGUUUAUCUAAACGAAGAUCAGACAGUGUAAUCGUUAGUGUUGGUGUAAUGGUGGUAUUAACAGUGUAUUCAGUAUAGUUUUUACAAAAUUUCCCAUAUGUUGUAAAGAACCGAUUGCUGAAGCAAAAUGGGCAGUUAUAAGACUUUCAUCACUCCCUGAUAAAUACUACAUAAUAUAGGAUAAAUGCGGGAAUAAUUCAACCUUUUUUAAAAAGAAUUAUCGGUUUUUUUAGUACCGUUUAUAAAAAUAGGAAAAUAUUUAGCAAUAAUAUGAAAAUUUCAUCGAUAACUAAAUGUAGAUAUAUGCUGUUUAGAUCUUAUCAAGCAAAACGUACAUUUCAAAGGCGAAGCCCUGGUGGGGUAAGGUUAGGUUUUAUCGACUUCAAGUCUGGAAUAUCUGGAAAACUAUGCAAAAUAUCGAAAAAUCUUAUUCUUCAUUUUCGAUUUAUUUUAAGCCGUUUCACAAAAUUUUAUAACCAAAUCCUGGCGCCGAUGAAAUCAUACCGUAGUUUCAUUCCACACCCAAUUUCUUUCUAUUUAGGUGACUAUUUUUAAAUGGAGCAACCAUAUAAAGGGGUUACGGAGUUUUUUGGCAAACCAAAACUCUCAAUCUCCAUACAAGAGUAGGUACCAUUCAAUUCACAAUAAAUUUUUCGCACGCACAGAACUCCUUUUUCUAAGGAAUAUUUUAGAAUCCAUUGUCCAUAUGUCUGUCAUAAUCUUCGAAACUCAUAUGCUUUGUUGGAAAAAUUGAAAACGUCGCGAUACUGAAUUUUAUUUCUUUAUUGACUUUCCUAUUUUUAUAAUUCAUGAGGUUUAAAGACAAUAAUACGUUCAUAAAGUAUAAACAAACAUUUAAAACAAAGAGACUGGAAUUUAUAAGGAUAACAUUUGAGAAAAAGCAACGACGACAAGGAAAAAAAAUGUUUUUUCGUAUAAACCAACACGAACCUACAGGUAUUCGAUUUUUAAACUAUUUUGGAGUACUGCUUUGGAUUUAAAAUUAACCAAAACAUGUAACGCCAAUAAUUCAUCAGCUUAACGAUUCCGGUUCCAAAAAGUAGCUUUUCAGGGUUCUAACAAGGGAGAUCCAAAAUAUACUUCCACAUAUAAUAAAUGUAAAAGGGGAAAGAACAUGGGGCCUCAAAGCAAAGUGAAAAGAACAAGAAUAAAAAAAGGGAAAGCUAAAAAAUUGAUCAAGAGAAAAAUGGAAUAUUCAGAAAAUGAAUCUAUGUAUCGGGAGUUUACAAAAAAAUUGGAAACUGGAAAAAUACCAUCGUCUGAAUCCCUUAUUUAUGUAGGGACUUCAUAUAACACAGAAAGUAAAAAUGUUCCUUUAAUAGAUUUGACGAACGAUAACCAACAGCUUGAAACGCUUUAUUUUAACAAAAGAAAUUUCACAAGAAGAUUACAAUUGAGGAAAUCCUUAGCCACAACUUCUCUAAUAAAUUUACCCACUGUUAGAAAAAUUGUACCUGAAAAGUUGAAUAGCACUUCAACGUUGACCAAACCUAAUAAUAAAUUACAUAUGCUGGACAUUCCAUCACCGUUUUUGAACAAUGAAGAUCUCAUUUUCAAUUAUGAUUCAAAUUUUUGGAACAAGUGUAAUCUUACCGAAAGGGAUAAUAAUCUUAUUCAGUGUCUUCUACAGCAAGAAAACGAACCUAUUGAUAUAAUCGAUAACUUUAGUCCAACUUAUCCAUUCAACAAUUCAAUCAAUUUAUCUCUUGAAGGUUUGAUGGAUUCCUACAAAGUUUCUUCAAAUGACAAUUUUAACUGAGUGUAAUAUUUUAUUUGAUACAAAAAUAUGUAGCCAAGCUAAAAUAAACAUUUUUAUACUGUUUUA